rnacentral:rRNA from 1 species
GGGGGGGGGGGGGGGGGGGGGUGGGGGGGGGGGGGGGGGGGGGCGGGGGGGGGGCGUGGGGCUCUGCGGUUGGCGGCGGACGGGUGAGUAACACGUGGGUAGCCUACCUAUGAGACUGGGAUACCGUCGGGGCACCGCGGCUGCUGCCGGCUAGUAUAUUGACCGGCAGGGUUCCAGAGUGAACGCCUGUGUUGCUGUCACUUAUAGAUGUAUCCGCGCCGCAUUACCUGGUGGGUAUGGUAACGGCUUCCCAAGGCAACGCGGCGUAGCCGACCUGAGCGGGUGAUCGGCCACACUGGAACUGAGACACGUGCCAGACUCCGACGGGAGGCAGCAGUAGGGAAUCUUCCGCAAUGGGCGAAAGACGGACGGAGCAACGCAGCGUGAGUGAUGAAGGUCUUAGGAGCGUAAAACUCUGUGAUUAGGGAAGAACAAAUGUGUAAGGAACUAUGCACGUCUUGACGGUACCUAAUCAGAAAGACACGGCUAACUACGUG